AGCGAAUGCUGGCGGCAGGCCUAACACAUGCAAGUCGAACGGAUCCUUCGGGAUUAGUGGCGGACGGGUGAGUAACACGUGGGAACGUGCCCUUUGGUUCGGAACAACUCAGGGAAACUUGAGCUAAUACCGGAUGUGCCCUUCGGGGGAAAGAUUUAUCGCCAUUGGAGCGGCCCGCGUCUGAUUAGCUAGUUGGUGAGGUAACGGCCCACCAAGGCGACGAUCAGUAGCUGGUCUGAGAGGAUGAUCAGCCACACUGGGACUGAGACACGGCCCAGACUCCUACGGGAGGCAGCAGUGGGGAAUCUUGCGCAAUGGGCGAAAGCCUGACGCAGCCAUGCCGCGUGAAUGAUGAAGGUCUUAGGAUUGUAAAAUUCUUUCAGCGGGGACGAUAAUGACGGUACCCGCAGAAGAAGCUCCGGCUAACUUCGUG
rnacentral:rRNA from 1 species